rnacentral:rRNA from 1 species
UGUUCCCAUGCCGAACACAGAAGUUAAGCUCCUUAGCGCCGAUGGUAGUCGGACUGACGUUCCGCUAGAGUAGGACGUUGCCAGGC